rnacentral:misc_RNA from 1 species
GGACUUAAAAUAGAUCUUCUGUCUGAUAACAAAUUGAAAAAGAAAAGAAACAAAAUGGAACACAUAAGAAUUUCACUUGAAAACAUGUCAUACUUAAGAAAUGAAAAUAUAUUCUUUCAAUAAGAGUAAUUAUUGAACUACACCUAACUUUUGCAUCCAUAAGCAGAAGUCACAUUAUCAGUGAUAGACAUCCUUAAAGUUUCCUUCCAACACUAGCAUCUUUUCAGACCAAUAUCAGACAAACCCACUUUAAAACUUAGUCUGCUAACCAUCAUAGUUUAUUGAGCAUUAAAAACUUCCACAUAUGGUCUUUCUUCUUUCACAAUGAAAUUUGAUUAUACAUAGCCAGUAACUUAAAAUUCAGAUCUAAAAGUGCAAGUAUGAAAGGUUCUCAAAGUAGAGUAUCAAUUGAAAUUGAGGAUUACCUCAACCAAGUAUCAUAGAAGGCACACAACAAAGAAAUAAACUAUUUCCUACACUGCUUAAAUAUUUGUUUCAAUAUUUCAGAUUCCACAUCAGUGUAAACUGAAAGUUAAGAAGAUCUGAGCCUGUAACACAAGGAGAUACAUGCAUCUCAAUAAAACAAUUCAAAUAGUACUUCAAUCUCCUCUGUGGAAACUGUUACCACAUCUUUAUAGAUCCUUCAUGCCCAUUCAGUCAUUAAGAAAGAACAUGAAGGAAGUCACCAAAACAAUAUCAAUAGCUUUUAGUUUUUGCAUAACUUUUUCUACAUCAACACUGCCUUCUUCAAUUACACCCACUUUCAACAUAGAGCCAUAUGUUCAGCUACAAUAAUUCUUUUUCUUAUUUGAAUAAAACUAAUUCACUAUAAAAUCGAGCCUUAAAAACUUUUUUCACAAUCCCUCAUCACUCAUUCACCAUUAAACCAUUCUAUAUAACUGAACAGAUAAAGUUUCCUUUUCCGCAACAGUUAACCCCACCAAAUUCUACAUUUUCUUCAACAUACCUUCCAAGAAAAUAAUAAAGGGGGAAAAGACAACCCUCCAAGAUAUCAUACAAACUCCUCAUUCUAUAAAUGGAAGAUUCGUCAUAAAACAAGUUCAAUAACCAAAUGAUUCAAAAAUCUAUCCUUACAAAACCCAGAAUGCCAAUCCUCUUUUGUCCACCAAUUAGACACAAUAUAAUUACCUACAACUUCUUUCUUUUUUUAUAAAAUAUAUAGAUCUCAUGAUCAAAUUCUCCAAUAUUUAUUCAAACAACAAAACCAGCUUAACAUUGCAUUUAGCACAGAAUUACAAAAAUAAACAAAUCUAUUAACAUAAAAAC